AGCGCCUUCCCCUCCCUUCCCUGGUUGCAGGCCUCUGCCCACUUGAUUGCCCCCUGUUGCGGCUGGAGUGGGGGUCACUACCUCCCAACAAGCACCCAAAGCUACAACCUAGGGUAGGAAGGCCUGAUUUAAACUAGGGUCCCUGAAAAUUGCGAGGUAGAAGGACCUGAAGUUAAAGGGCAGGCUUCUGGCACAGGAGUAGGGAGGAGGCCAGCUGGAGGGAGAGGUGACCUGGCUUAAGCCCCGUAGCUGGUGCCUUGACUUGCCCCCUGAAGGCCAGGCUCUACUUUCACCUGCUGUCAGCUACCCCUCCUUCACCACAGCCAGAGAGGAAUAGGAGACAGGGGCGCAGAGGCAGAUCGGGCUGGGGAAGAGCUACUCUCCCUAAUCCCCAGGGCCCUGUGAAGGGCUGGUGCCUGGCGCCAGCUCUGCUGCUAAUGGGCUGACCAGCCCUGCUUCCCCUCCCCCUCCCCUGAACACUACCCAGCAGAGGUUGUCUGCUGAUGUUUCAGCCUUAAAGACACAGCCCCCAAACCUAGACAUACCCCCCAAGAAGCCCCAAUGAGGUGGGUACAUCAUAGGGGGCUGAGGGUGGCUGGACCCAGCUCUGGAUCCCAUGCAGGAGGGUCUGCCCCAUGCCACGGGCUGGGCUGAGUGGGCCUUUUGUAUUCUGUCUGGGUUUACUGGAUUCUCCCUCCCCCCAACCCCACACCAAUUGCUGCUCAGUCAUGGGCUUUACGGGAACCAGAGUGAUUCCUGAGGUAGGAAGGGGAGGGGGCUGAGGGUGCUGCCAAGGCUAAGAGAUGGAUGGACUGGCAGGAGCUGGUUUCCAGUAUUGAUGAGUUGCAGGUACCAGGGAUGGGUGGGGCUGGAUGGGGAAGAGAUGGGGAAAGAGAAGGUGCCCAUCCCCAGCUGUCUGAAAGAGAGAAGGCCCCAAAACAGGUCCACAAACCUGCGCACGCAAACGGAUGCAUACACACAGCCUUGUAUAUGUGCACACACAUUACAUACACACAAAUACACACACAAUCACACACCCCACCACACCUCCCCUACCCCAGAGUUAGCGGGAAGGCUGAUAUCUGGCCUUUGUAUGUCAAACAGCUUCCAGAAUGCAAGCACAACCUGCCCAGGAGUGGACAGAGGCAGUUCGGAUCAUCUGCAGGAGCCGGGUUGCUGAGGUCUGCUGGGUUUGCCAGGAACCAUAGGGCUGGGGAUGCUGCUGCUGCCGGGGACUCCAGCACUCUCUUGUGAGACAGGUCUGCCUCAGAUGGGACCUGAGGACAAGAGAGUGCAUCUGGGGAAGCAGAUUUGAGGCUCCUGCCUGGAUAUCUGGCCGGGGGUGAGGAGGGCGGCUCCCUGGCUGGCCAGCUCGUCAGUAUUGCAGGGCAGUGUCCCCCUCCCCCCUCUGUGUGUCCUCUGAGAUGGGCCAGGGCCAACGCCCUACUCACGUCCCUACCGCCUUCGUCUCCUCUCCAGGCCCCUCCUUCCUUCCGGGCCAUUAGUCUCUCCCUGCACAGCUGCCAGUUCCUUCUCCUUGAUGGGUCUGGUUUGGUUGCCAGGGGAGUGGGAAGCGGGAGGAAGGGAGAGAUGGGACAGGAUGGAUAAAUGACAGCUUGUCCUCCCCCAAUUCCUGGGAAUGGGUAGGGGUAGGGUCCCACCUGGGAUAGGGCCAGAAGGCUUGGUGGGUGUGAGGAGGGGGCUAGGGAAGCCUUGGUGCUUCCUGCCACAGUACUGGGCACUGAGCCCCAGCUGCCAUUGGCCUGGAGCCCCAUCUAUCCCAGAUUUGGCCCCACCCUCCAGGAGCAGGGAGCCAGCGCUGCACCCGGAGAGGCGGGCAAGGCCUGGGGAGGACCAGCUCAGGCCCUGUCUACAGGGCGCUUGUGGGGAACCCAAGCCUACUGAGAGUAGAGGCUGCUGGGGCUGCGGCUGGGUCUGGGGCGUUCCAGAUGGAGGUCCUGUCCUCACCCUGCUUAAGCGCUCUGCUGGCCACCUACAUGCCUCGGAGAAGGGACAGAGGGCUGCCACAGCUGGGCUCUGGAGCUGUGGAUCAGGCCUGGGUGAGGAACUGCAAGGCAGAAGAGGCUCCUCCCCUCAAGCAGAAGGAGCAGGCCAGAGACACCAGGCGGAGCAAAGAUGAUAUUUAUCCAAGGGGGUGUAAAAUGGAGUCAGAGAAGCACUGGUAUUAGGAGUUUGGAGCCCUCAUUCCAUUCUUUCCCUGAGUUCUAGGAGCCUCUUCUAUUCCUCCAGAAGCCAAAAGACAGAGCAGGAAGACAAAAUCUUUCCUCAGCUCUUCACCAUUCUCUACGAUGUCCACAAUCUCCAGUUCCACCCUCACUGUAAAAUCGCGUCUCCAUCCACCUGCCUGAUCUUUCAGUCAGCCACUCCUCAGCUGGAGAAUGGGAAAUAAUGGGCUGUGCCAGCGAGCCACACUCCAAGGGCAGAGUGCUCAGUGAACCUGCUCAAAGUGUGGCCUGUGCAGCUGCCUGAGGGUUGCCCGGGCCAUGAAAAGGCAGACUCCUGGGUCCCACCCAGAUCUUCUGAAUCUUAGAAGGGCAUUGACAAAUGCCCUAGUGAUUUUUAAGUAUUCCUGGAUUAAAGUAUUUUUCUUUAAA